UACAGCGGGGGCAAGCGUUGUUCGGAAUUACUGUGCGUAAAGGGCGCGUAGGCGGCCUUCUAAGUCGAACGUGAAAUCCCCGGGCUCAACCCGGGAACUGCGUCCGAUACUGGAAGGCUUGAAUCCGGGAGAGGGAUGCGGAAUUCCAGGUGUAGCGGUGAAAUGCGUAGAUAUCUGGAGGAACACCGGUGGCGAAGGCGGCAUCCUGGACCGGUAUUGACGCUGAGGCGCGAAAGCCAGGGGAGCAAACGGG
rnacentral:rRNA from 1 species